rnacentral:rRNA from 1 species
AUUGAACGCUGGCGGCAUGCCUUACACAUGCAAGUCGAACGGCAGCACGGGUGCUUGCACCUGGUGGCGAGUGGCGAACGGGUGAGUAAUACAUCGGAACGUACCUUAUCGUGGGGGAUAACGCAGCGAAAGCUGUGCUAAUACCGCAUACGCCCUGAGGGGGAAAGCGGGGGAUCGAAAGACCUCGCGCGAUUAGAGCGGCCGAUGCCUGAUUAGCUUGUUGGUGGGGUAAAAGCCCACCAAGGCGACGAUCAGUAGCUGGUCUGAGAGGACGAUCAGCCACACUGGGACUGAGACACGGCCCAGACUCCUACGGGAGGCAGCAGUGGAGAAUUUUGGACAAUGGGGGGAAACCCUGAUCCAGCAAUGCCGCGUGAGUGAAGAAGGCCUUCAGGUUGUAAAGCUCUUUUGUCAGGGAAGAAACACCGGCUCUAACACAGUCCGGGAAUGACGGUACCUGAAGAAUAAGCACCGGCUAACUACGUGCC